rnacentral:rRNA from 1 species
UACGUAGGGUGCGAGCGUUGUCCGGAAUUACUGGGCGUAAAGAGCUCGUAGGUGGUUUGUCGCGUUGUUCGUGAAAUCUCACGGCUUAACUGUGAGCGUGCGGGCGAUACGGGCAGACUUGAGUACUGCAGGGGAGACUGGAAUUCCUGGUGUAGCGGUGGAAUGCGCAGAUAUCAGGAAGAACACCUAUGGCGAAGGCAGCACUCUGGGACGGUACUGACGCUGAGACGCGAAAGCGUGGGGAGCGAACAGG